UACGUAGGGUGCGAGCGUUAAUCGGUAUUACUGGGCGUAAAGCGUGCGCAGGCGGUUCGUUGUGUCGGCGGUGAAAGCCCCGGGCUUAACCUGGGAAUGGCCGUUGAAACUGGCGAACUGGAGUGUGGCAGAGGAGGAUGGAAUUCCGCGUGUAGCAGUGAAAUGCGUAGAUAUGCGGAGGAACACCGAUGGCGAAGGCAAUCCCCUGGGCCUGCACUGACGCUCAUGCACGAAAGCGUGGGGAGCAAACAGG
rnacentral:rRNA from 1 species